AUGAACGCUGGCGGCGUGCCUAAUACAUGCAAGUCGAGCGAACAGACGAGGAGCUUGCUCCUCUGACGUUAGCGGCGGACGGGUGAGUAACACGUGGAUAACCUACCUAUAAGACUGGGAUAACUUCGGGAAACCGGAGCUAAUACCGGAUAACAUGUUGAACCGCAUGGUUCAACAGUGAAAGACGGUCUUGCUGUCACUUAUAGAUGGAUCCGCGCCGCAUUAGCUAGUUGGUAAGGUAACGGCUUACCAAGGCAACGAUGCGUAGCCGACCUGAGAGGGUGAUCGGCCACACUGGAACUGAGACACGGUCCAGACUCCUACGGGAGGCAGCAGUAGGGAAUCUUCCGCAAAGGGCGAAAUCCUGACGGAGCAACGCCGCGUGAGUGAAGAAGGUCUUCGGAUCGUAAAACUCUGUUAUUAGGGAAGAACAAAUGUGUAAGUAACUAUGCACGUCUUGACGGUACCUAAUCAGAAAGCCACGGCUAACUACGUG
rnacentral:rRNA from 1 species